rnacentral:rRNA from 1 species
GUGAGGAAUAUUGCGCAAUGGAGGCAACUCUGACGCAGCCAUGCCGCGUGCAGGAAGAAGGCGCUACGCGUUGUAAACUGCUUUUAACCGGGAAGAAACCCCAGGACGUGUCCUGGGUUGACGGUACCGGAGGAAUAAGCACCGGCUAACUUCGUGCCAGCAGCCGCGGUAAUACGAAGGGUGCAAGCGUUAUCCGGAUUCAUUGGGUUUAAAGGGUGCGUAGGCGGAGCGUUAAGUCAGUGGUGAAAUCCUGCAGCUUAACUGUAGACUUGCCAUUGAUACUGGCGCGCUUGAGUGCGCUAGAAGUGGGCGGAAUGUGCCGUGUAGCGGUGAAAUGCUUAGAUAUGGCACAGAACACCAAUUGCGAAGGCAGCUCACUAAGGCGAUACUGACGCUGAGGCACGAAAGCGUGGGGAUCGAACAGGAUUAGAAACCCCUGUAGUCC